GGACUUUAAAAAGGAAGCAGAAAGGCCAGGAGGACGAGCUUCACUGGAGAUGUCAGAAUUUUCUCCUUCCCUGAGUUAUCUUUGGACUUAGAUGUAUAUAAAUGUAUCUGGUUGGAGGUGGGGGGAAAAGUGGAAGUGGAAGACCACAAAAGUAAAAAUUACAUUUGAGUGUAUUUCACCGAUUCUAAGAGGAAUGCUUUCUUCUGCUCCAACCACUCUGAAAUCUCCGGGUCCCAUACUCCCAUCGCAGCUGUGUGACAUGGUUGCCGUGGCCUUUGUGUGAACAUCAAAGCUCAGAGGAUGGGUGUCAGAGGCUUAGAUGAAAAUCCUGAAGACAAUUGUCUGGCACUUUUCAAAGCUAUACGGCCUCACCAAAACCCUCCUGGAAGCUCUUGAUGGCUCGAGGUUCAACAGUGUCUGGGAAGACAUGGAUAUAAAAGAUCCAGAAUCAAAGAGUGAUUCCAAAGAGUUAGAGGCUGACUGUGAAGUCUUAGGCAUACUGUAACCCAGUGAUUUACCUAUCUUUGCUUUUCUGCUCAUGCAGAAGAGUGAUAUAUGAUGAAUAAAUUCUAAGUUCAAUUAGGCCUAAAAGAGCUCUUGUAAUAUGCUUUAAAAAGUCUAAGUGAUAAAACAUUGUGACAGAUAGAGUUCUGUCAGUGUUUAUAUUUUCUUAGUCCUUCAUUAAAUAACAGUGUGUCUUACACCAAGGCAGUUUUGGAUUCCAUAAAAUAUGGUAGUAGUUAUGUUUCAUGUUUCAAUAGUCAUCAAUCUGUUUUUAAUGUAUUCAUGGAAAAAUAUGUGGGCCAUCUUGCUAUUUAACUAUUUUUGAAAUCUCAUGGAAGCCUGCCAAUGUUUUUGCAAUUUAGCUAAGAAGCUGUCUUGCUUUUUGAGAGGGGAAGUUCCAAUAUUGUAAGCCUAGGUUUCUGAAUAUAUUUUUGUUUUUUAAUAAAUGUAGAAAGAAUGUUUUUUGUUAAUCCUGGCAUUUGUCUAGAGCAAAAGCAAAAUAAAUGAAAAGUGAGGAAAAUUAAAAGGCUCACGUUAUAACAUGUGCUGUCUAGAGAAUAAAAACUCAUUUGUGCAAAGUUGGUAUGGCUUUUAUGAAAAUAUUUCAGUCCGAGCACCUUGCCUGUUUGCUGCAGUGCUGACUGACUCAUGAUUAGGGAUCUGUGUUGCCUUUAUUGCUCUCGGUUUGCCCUAUGGCUUGAUUUAUUAAUAUAUUUAAA
ensembl:lncRNA novel transcript